UACGGAGGGUGCGAGCGUUAAUCGGAAUUACUGGGCGUAAAGGGUGCGUAGGUCGUUGAUUAAGUUAUCUGUGAAAUUCCUGGGCUUAACCUAGGCAGGUCAGAUAAGACUGAUUGACUCGAGUAUGGGAGAGGGUAGUGGAAUUUCCGGUGUAGCGGUGAAAUGCGUAGAGAUCGGAAGGAACACCAGUGGCGAAGGCGGCUACCUGGCCUAAUACUGACACUGAGGCACGAAAGCGUGGGGAGCAAACAGG
rnacentral:rRNA from 1 species